AUUGAACGCUGGCGGCAUGCCUUACACAUGCAAGUCGAACGGCAGCACGGGUGCUUGCACCUGGUGGCGAGUGGCGAACGGGUGAGUAAUACAUCGGAACGUACCUUAUCGUGGGGGAUAACGCAGCGAAAGCUGUGCUAAUACUGCAUACGCCCUGAGGGGGAAAGCGGGGGAUCGAAAGACCUCGCGCGAUUAGAGCGGCCGAUGCCUGAUUAGCUUGUUGGUGGGGUAAAAGCCCACCAAGGCGACGAUCAGUAGCUGGUCUGAGAGGACGAUCAGCCACACUGGGACUGAGACACGGCCCAGACUCCUACGGGAGGCAGCAGUGGGGAAUUUUGGACAAUGGGGGCAACCCUGAUCCAGCAAUGCCGCGUGAGUGAAGAAGGCCUUCGGGUUGUGAAGCUCUUUUGUCAGGGAAGAAACACCGGCUCUAACACAGUCCGGGAAUGACGGUACCUGAAGAAUAAGCACCGGCUAACUACGUGCCAGCAGCCGCCGUAA
rnacentral:rRNA from 1 species